AAAUAGAACUUUGCAGAGAGAGUUAACAGGGCGUGAAACCGUUAAUUGGCAAACGAAUCGGAGCCACGAAGUCGUUUCGCUGUUGGGCUUGGGUUCAGCUGGAUAGCUAAAACUAUCUGGUGUACUCUCAGGCUAACCAACUUUGUAAGCGUACACUGCAACCAGUUAGACGAUUGGUGAUGGGCCCAGUUGUUACUCGGGUCAGUAGUAACGUGGCUGGCCUUGUGCUUGUCCGCGUUGCUGGGCUCGUGGUAGGUGAACUAUUACCAAAGACUGACUGGCAAAAUGAAAAUCGCCGAAAGGCGUUACAUAGAAAGCGGUGCCUGCAUUUGGUGUUACAUGCUUGACCAUGUGGUUUUAAGCUCAGCAUUUUUGAAUUUGGACUUGCUUGCUACCAGUGGGGCAACUCCUGGUGCUUGUAUAGCUUCCAUCUAAUCGGGUGUUGACUUGAUCGCAUGUCGUUCGAGUAUGCAACGAUAGACUCUGAAUGUAAGGUAACUCGCCAACUUAUUGGCAGUGAGUAGGUCGGCUUUCCGAACGACCCGUCUUGAAACACGGACCAAGGAGUCUAAUUAGGCAUCAAGUCGAUCGGUCUUGAAUAGGCCAGACGUGUUGGUAGAUAUCAACUGAAGGCGUAGAGACAUGUGAUCGGGUUGGCCACAACAGCCUCCAUGCGCAACAUGUGCCUGUUCGUAUAGCAAUGUAGCAAUAAUUGCUGGCGGAGCAAAGAGAUGCCUGAUUGGUACCCGAAAGAUGGUGAGCCUGGGCAAAUUGAAGCCAGAGGAAACUCUGGUGGAGGAUUGUAGCGAUUCUGACGUGCAAAUCGAUCGUCAGACCUGGGUAUAGGGGCGAAAGACUAAUCGAACCAUC
rnacentral:rRNA from 1 species